rnacentral:rRNA from 1 species
GGAUGCCUAGGCUCUCAGAGGCGAUGAAAGGCGUGAUAAGCUGCGAAAAGCUACGGGGACGAGCACACAUCGAUUGAUCCGUAGAUACCUGAAUGGGGCAACCCAAUACAUUGAAGAUGUAUUACCCGAUAGGGGGCAAACCCGCUGAACUGAAACAUCUAAGUAGGCGGAGGAGAAGAAAACAAAAGUGAUUCCGUAAGUAGUGGCGAGCGAACGCGG